UGGGGAAUAUUGCACAAUGGGCGCAAGCCUGAUGCAGCCAUGCCGCGUGUAUGAAGAAGGCCUUCGGGUUGUAAAGUACUUUCAGCGAGGAGGAAGGCGUUGUGGUUAAUAACCGCAGCGAUUGACGUUACUCGCAGAAGAAGCACCGGCUAACUCCGUGCCAGCAGCCGCGGUAAUACGGAGGGUGCAAGCGUUAAUCGGAAUUACUGGGCGUAAAGCGCACGCAGGCGGUCGGUCAAGUCGGAUGUGAAAUCCCCGGGCUCAACCUGGGAACUGCAUCCGAAACUGGCAGGCUAGAGUCUUGUAGAGGGGGGUAGAAUUCCAGGUGUAGCGGUGAAAUGCGUAGAGAUCUGGAGGAAUACCGGUGGCGAAGGCGGCCCCCUGGACAAAGACUGACGCUCAGGUGCGAAAGCGUGGGGAGCAAACA
rnacentral:rRNA from 1 species